GUUUGAUCCUGGCUCAGGAUGAACGCUGGCGGCGUGCCCUAAUACAUGCAAGUCGAGCGAACGGACGAGAAGCUUGCUUCUCUGAUGUUAGCGGCGGACGGGUGAGUAACACGUGGAUAACCUACCUAUAAGACUGGGAUAACUUCGGGAAACCGGAGCUAAUACCGGAUAAUAUUUUGAACCGCAUGGUUCAAAAGUGAAAGACGGUCUUGCUGUCACUUAUAGAUGGAUCCGCGCUGCAUUAGCUAGUUGGUAAGGUAACGGCUUACCAAGGCAACGAUGCAUAGCCGACCUGAGAGGGUGAUCGGCCACACUGGAACUGAGACACGGUCCAGACUCCUACGGGAGGCAGCAGUAGGGAAUCUUCCGCAAUGGGCGAAAGCCUGACGGAGCAACGCCGCGUGAGUGAUGAAGGUCUUCGGAUCGUAAAACUCUGUUAUUAGGGAAGAACAUAUGUGUAAGUAACUGUGCACAUCUUGACGGUACCUAAUCAGAAAGCCACGGCUAACUACGUGCCAGCAGCCGCGGUAAUACGUAGGUGGCAAGCGUUAUCCGGAAUUAUUGGGCGUAAAGCGCGCGUAGGCGGUUUUUUAAGUCUGAUGUGAAAGCCCACGGCUCAACCGUGGAGGGUCAUUGGAAACUGGAAAACUUGAGUGCAGAAGAGGAAAGUGGAAUUCCAUGUGUAGCGGUGAAAUGCGCAGAGAUAUGGAGGAACACCAGUGGCGAAGGCGACUUUCUGGUCUGUAACUGACGCUGAUGUGCGAAAGCGUGGGGAUCAAACAGGAUUAGAUACCCUGGUAGUCCACGCCGUAAACGAUGAGUGCUAAGUGUUAGGGGGUUUCCGCCCCUUAGUGCUGCAGCUAACGCAUUAAGCACUCCGCCUGGGGAGUACGACCGCAAGGUUGAAACUCAAAGGAAUUGACGGC
rnacentral:rRNA from 1 species